CAUAUGAACAUGCAGCAUGCAUAUGCAUAUAAGAUUUUAGCACCAAAAAGAAACACAAAAAGCUUCAAGAGAAUUUAAUCAAAGUACUUACAAGAAGACGACUUGCAGCAGCAACAGUCUUCAUGGAACGCGAGUAAGACAUGGCCGAGGAUGUUGUUGUCACCUUGUUCCAGGGCCGAGGACGUCUGGACCUAGAGUUUUCACUGAGCAAUUUGUCUUGGAGGCAUUUCAUCGAGCAGCUACUGGGCGUCGUCCAUGUCAACAGCCGCUCCGACUGGAGGGAGGCGCAGGGACGAGGAGGAUAAGCACCCUUCCUCUAGCCACGGGCACUCCGGGCAGUGCGGCUGGUCAAUUGCCCAGGUGCCUCGUGCGGCCGCCUCGAGCCCUCGAGUCCUCGACCACCAGGUGCCUGUGCCUCACGCCUUGUCCUUGCUGGUCGCGGGCUCGCGGCCCUCGUACUCAAAGUGCACGGCAUAGGAGCGCUUCUGUUAGGGACUCCCCACUACCGCCAUAGCUGCCGCCUGGACGAGCGCCGCCAGCAAGCUCGUCACAUGGAGUCGCGGCUGAGAGGCAGGGAAGGGGCGACGGCCGAC
rnacentral:lncRNA from 1 species